rnacentral:rRNA from 1 species
UAGGGAAUCUUCGGCAAUGGGGGCAACCCUGACCGAGCAACGCCGCGUGAGUGAAGAUGGUUUUCGGAUCGUAAAGCUCUGUUGUAAGAGAAGAACGUGUGUGAGAGUGGAAAGUUCACACAGUGACGGUAACUUACCAGAAAGGGACGGCUAACUACGUGCCAGCAGCCGCGGUAAUACGUAGGUCCCGAGCGUUGUCCGGAUUUAUUGGGCGUAAAGCGAGCGCAGGCGGUGUCAUAAGUCUGAAGUUAAAGGCAGUGGCUUAACCAUUGUUCGCUUUGGAAACUGUUAAACUUGAGUGCAGAAGGGGAGAGUGGAAUUCCAUGUGUAGCGGUGAAAUGCGUAGAUAUAUGGAGGAACACCGGUGGCGAAAGCGGCUCUCUGGUCUGUAACUGACGCUGAGGCUCGAAAGCGUGGGGAGCAAACAGG